UGACAACUUGCCCCCACCACAACUGAACAGUUCUCAAAAGGAGUACCUGCUCAUAACCAGCUCUUUCACUUUCAUCCUGUGACACAGUAUUUUGUCAACCCCAUCUACAUCAUUAAGCUCUGACUGUGUUGCAAAAGUGUGUCUUGCCAAAUAUAUAACAAAACUGAGAAAAAUUGGCUGUAAUGAAGUGAAAUUAAAUUUACUUAAGCCCAAACCAGCUGGAAUUUCCAGUGCUGUUUACCAUAUAUAUAUAUAUAUAAAAAAAAAACAUGCAAUGCUGAGGUGAACUACUGCCCUUACCAUCCAUAAACGGAGACAUCCAAAACACUGGAAGUAGUCAGUUUAAUACUUCUGUCUGAAAUUAAAAAGAACAAUGAGAAAACAUUAUGAAUGCUGAUGGACAAGACCUUUUCUAUCAAGAGACAUGAGGUUGUCAAGGAAUCGCCUUCAAUAGCAGAUUUCAAAACUAGAUGGCCUGCUCUUUUCAGAAGGGAAGAGAUUUGUGCAGAGUUUAAAAGAAUCACAACAGCCCCAUUGGUGUCUACAUACUUGGCAAAGAUGAAUCCAUAUUCUGCAAAGCUUAUAAGGAUCUAUGCAAAACGAGGAGUCGUCAAUGGACAGAGAAUUAAAAACCUGCUGGUCUCCACAACACGGACUGACAACAUUGAUCAGACUCGGAUCUUUCUUUGUCUACCUGAAUGAAGACCCGACCAGUCUAAUUAAAGAGUAUUUGGAUACAGAUGCACCCAGUACCCAGGAGGCGAUCCAGAAGAUGGUGAUGGGAGUGCUUGUUGUAAAAAUGUAUGGUUCAGACAUCGAAGACAGCCCAGCAGAUGUUGGAGUGUUAUUAAAGGGAUUAAGAGU